UACGUAGGGACCAAGCGUUGUUCGGAUUUACUGGGCGUAAAGGGCGCGUAGGCGGCGCGGUAAGUCACUUGUGAAAUCUCUGAGCUUAACUCAGAACGGCCAAGUGAUGCUGCAGUGCUAGAGUGUGGAAGGGGCAAUCGGAAUUCUUGGUGUAGCGGUGAAAUGCGUAGAUAUCAAGAGGAACACCUGAGGUGAAGACGGGUUGCUGGGCCAACACUGACGCUGAUGCGCGAAAGCCAGGGGAGCGAACGGG
rnacentral:rRNA from 1 species